CUUCAUUAUUAUUGUUAACGAUUAGUCUGCAAAACAAAAAAACAAAGACUGAGAACUAGAAUGAUCUCGUGUGCUCCAGAAGGGUCAGCAAGUUCUACUCUGCUAAAGCUUGUUGGUGAAUUGCAUUUGGUGUGGUCAAAACCGUGAAAAGUAAGAUUAUAAAAAUACCAAACUUCAAGGAAAAAAUCAAAAUCUCAAACCCA
rnacentral:lncRNA from 1 species